UACGAAGGGUGCAAACGUUGCUCGGAAUUAUUGGGCGUAAAGCGCACGUAGGCGGCUUAGCAAGUCGGAAGUGAAAUCCCACGGCUCAACCAUGGAAGUGCUUUCGAAACUGCUGAGCUUGAGUACGGAAGAGGGUCUCGGAAUUCCCGGUGUAGAGGUGAAAUUCGUAGAUAUCGGGAGGAACACCAGUGGCGAAGGCGGAGACCUGGGCCGAUACUGACGCUGAGAUGCGAAAGCGUGGGGAGCAAACAGG
rnacentral:rRNA from 1 species